rnacentral:rRNA from 1 species
CAUGAGGAGAGCUCUAUGAGCUCACGAACUCAGUUAUCCCAGACUUCCAAGAAAAGUUCCGGCGUGAGUCACUUUACUGACCGUACCGCAAACCGACACAGGUGGGCAAGGAGAAUAUCCUAAGGCGUUUGAGAGAAGCCUCUCUAAGGAACUCGGCAUAAUGACACCGUAACUUCGGGAUAAGGUGUGCCGACGGUAGGUGAUGUGCCUGCGCACAAAGCCCAAGUCGGUUGCAGUGAAACGGGGGUAGCGACUGUUUACCAAAAACACAGCACUCUGCAAACUCGUAAGAGGAUGUAUAGGGUGUGAUGCCUGCCCGGUGCCGGAAGGUUAAGAGGAGGAGUCAGCCGCAAGGCAAAGCCCCGAAUCGAAGCCCCGGUAAACGGCGGCCGUAACCAUAACGGUCCUAAGGUAGCGAAAUUCCUUGUCGGGUAAGUUCCGACCUGCACGAAUGGCAUAACGACUUCCCCACUGUCUCGGAGAGGCCCUCAGCGAAGUAGCACUGGGGGUGAAGAUACCCUUUACCCGCGGCAGGACGGAAAGACCCCGUGAACCUUUACUGUAACUUGGCACUGAUUUUCGGGUUAGCUUGCGUAGGAUAGGUGGGAGGCUAUGAAGCCGGGAUUCCGGUCUCGGCAGAGCCAACCUUGAAAUACCACCCUGGCUAACCUAAAAAUCUAACUCGCUUCCGUAAUCCGGAAGGAGGACAAUGCCUGGUGGGCAGUUUGACUGGGGCGGUCGCCUCCCAAAAAGUAACGGAGGCGCGCGAAGGUUCCCUCAGCCUGAUUGGAAACCAGGCGCAGAGUGUAAUGGCAUAAGGGAGCUUGACUGCGAGACAAACAAGUCGAGCAGGUGCGAAAGCAGGUCAUAGUGAUCCGGUGGUCCUGUAUGGAAAGGCCAUCGCUCAACGGAUAAAAGGUACUCCGGGGAUAACAGGCUUAUCACGCCCAAGAGUUCACAUCGACGGCGUGGUUUGGCACCUCGAUGUCGGCUCAUCGCAUCCUGGGGCUGAAGUAGGUCCCAAGGGUUCGGCUGUUCGCCGAUUAAAGCGGUACGCGAGCUGGGUUCAAAACGUCGUGAGACAGUUUGGUCCCUAUCCGCCGGGGCGCAGGAGACUUAAGAGGAGCUAACCUUAGUACGAGAGGACCGGGUUGGACUGACCUCUAGUGUUCCGGUUGUGGCACCAGCCGCAUCGCCGGGUAGCUACGUCGGGAAUGGAUAACCGCUGAAAGCAUCUAAGCGGGAAGCCAACCUCAAGAUUAGGUCUCCCAGGUCGUAAGACCCUAAAGGCCCCUCGUAGACCACGAGGUAAUAGGCUGGGUGUGGAAGCGUAGUAAUACGUGAAGCUGA